UAAUGUCCUACCAGAUGCAAACUUACAUA
rnacentral:piRNA from 1 species